rnacentral:tRNA from 1 species
GAGGGGAUAGCACAGUGGUAGAGCACAUGCUUAGCACACACAAAGUCCUGGGUUCAAUCCCCAGUACCUCCA